GAUGAAGAACGUAGUGAAAUGCGAUAAGUAAUGUGAAUUGCAGAAUUCAGUGAAUCAUCGAAUCUUUGAACGCACAUUGCGCCCUUUGGUAUUCCAAAGGGCAUGCCUGUUCGAGCGUCAUUUGUACCCUCAAGCUUUGCUUGGUGUUGGGCGUCUUGUCUCUAGCUUUGCUGGAGACUCGCCUUAAAGUAAUUGGCAGCCGGCCUACUGGUUUCGGAGCGCAGCACAAGUCGCACUCUCUAUCAGCAAAGGUCUAGCAUCCAUUAAGCCUUUUUUUCAACUUUUGACCUCGGAUCAGGUAGGGAUACCCGCUGAACUUAAGCAUAUCAAUAAGCGGAGGA
rnacentral:misc_RNA from 1 species